rnacentral:rRNA from 1 species
CAUGCCGUAAACGAUGAUUACUAGGUGUGGGGGGUCUGACCCCUUCCGUGCCGGAGUUAACACAAUAAGUAAUCCACCUGGGGAGUACGACCGCAAGGUUGAAACUCAAAGGAAUUGACGGGGGCCCGCACAAGCGGUGGAGCAUGUGGUUUAAUUCGAAGCAACGCGAAGAACCUUACCAGGUCUUGACAUCCCGAUGACCGCUCUAGAGAUAGAGUUUUCCCUUCGGGGACAUUGGUGACAGGUGG